rnacentral:rRNA from 1 species
ACGGGUGAGUAACGCGUGGGAAUCUACCCAUCUCUACGGAAUAACGCAUGGAAACGUGUGCUAAUACCGUAUACGUCCUUCGGGAGAAAGAUUUAUCGGAGAUGGAUGAGCCCGCGUUGGAUUGGCUAGUUGGUGGGGUAAAGGCCUACCAAGGCGACGAUCCAUAGCUGGUCUGAGAGGAUGAUCAGCCACACUGGGACUGAGACACGGCCCAGACUCCUACGGGAGGCAGCAGUGGGGAAUAUUGGACAAUGGGCGCAAGCCUGAUCCAGCCAUGCCGCGUGAGUGAUGAAGGCCCUAGGGUUGUAAAGCUCUUUCACCGGUGAAGAUAAUGACGGUAACCGGCGAAGAAGCCCCGGCUAACUUCGUGCCAGCAGCCGCGGUAAUACGAAGGGGGCUAGCGUUGUUCGGAUUUACUGGGCGUAAAGCGCACGUAGGCGGACUAUUAAGUCAGGGGUGAAAUCCCGGGGCUCAACCCCGGAACUGCCUUUGAUACUGGUAGUCUUGAGUUCGAGAGAGGUGAGUGGAAUUCCGAGUGUAGAGGUGAAAUUCGUAGA